CCCUUAGAUGUUCUGGGCUGCACGCGCGCUACACUGAAGCGUUCAACGAGUAUUUCACCUUGCCCGGGAGGGUUGGGUAAUCUUUUUAAAACGCUUCGUGAUGGGGAUAGAUUAUUGCAAUUAUUAAUCUUCAACGAGGAAUGCCUAGUAAGCGCAAGUCAUCAGCUUGCGUUGAUUACGUCCCUGCCCUUUGUACACACCGCCCGUCGCUCCUACCGAUUGAAUGGUCCGGUGAAGCGUUCGGACCGUGGCCUUUGGACGGUUCGCCGUCUGUUGGCUGCGGGAAGUUCGUUAAACCUUAUCAUUUAGAGGAAGGAGAAGUCGUAACA
rnacentral:rRNA from 1 species